rnacentral:rRNA from 1 species
UACGUAGGUGGCAAGCGUUGUCCGGAAUUACUGGGCGUAAAGCGUGCGCAGGCGGUCCGCUAAGACAGAUGUGAAAUCCCCGGGCUUAACCUGGGAACUGCAUUUGUGACUGGCGGGCUAGAGUAUGGCAGAGGGGGGUAGAAUUCCACGUGUAGCAGUGAAAUGCGUAGAGAUGUGGAGGAAUACCGAUGGCGAAGGCAGCCCCCUGGGCCAAUACUGACGCUCAUGCACGAAAGCGUGGGGAGCAAACAG